AACGAACGCUGGCGGCGUGGAUAAGACAUGCAGUUGAACGGUUGAUUCAAGGUAGCAAUAUUUGUGGGUUAGCAGUGGCGUAAGGGUGCUUAACACGUGGGUAAUCUGCCGCGAAGUGUGGGAUAACUCGCUGAAAGGCGAGCUAAUACCGCAUGUGAUUUUCUUGAGGCAUCUCAGGGAAUUCAAACAUGGGUCGCAAGACCUGUGGUUUCGCGAUGAGCCCGCGGCCUAUCAGCUAGUUGGCGGGGUAAAAGCCCACCAAGGCUAAGACGGGUAGCUGGUCUGAGAGGACGACCAGCCACACUGGAACUGAGACACGGUCCAGACACCUACGGGUGGCAGCAGUCGAGAAUUUUUCACAAUGGGGGAAACCCUGAUGGAGCGACGCCGCGUGGGGGAUGAAGGGCUUCGGUUCGUAAACCCCUGUCAUUGGCGAACAAGUGUUGCAUUCUAAUACAGUGUAACUUGAUAGUAGCCGAAGAGGAAGGGACGGCUAACUCUGUGCCAGCAGCCGCGGUAAUACAGAGGUCCCGAGCGUUGUUCGGAUUCACUGGGCGUAAAGGGUGCGUAGGUGGUUGGUUAAGUUUGAGGUGAAAGCUCCGAGCUCAACUCGGAAAAUGCCUUGAAGACUAUCUGACUAGAGGAUUGGAGGGGAGAUUGGAAUUCUCGGUGUAGCAGUGAAAUGCGUAGAUAUCGAGAGGAACACCAGUGGCGAAGGCGAAUCUCUGGACAAUUCCUGACACUGAGGCACGAAGGCCAAGGGAGCAAACGGGAUUAGAUACCCCGGUAGUCUUGGCUGUAAACGGUGCGCACUUGCUGUGAGCGGAUUCGACCCCGCUCGUGGCGUAGUUAACACGAUAAGUGCGCCGCCUGGGAAGUACGGUCGCAAGAUUA
rnacentral:rRNA from 1 species